UUUAGGAGGCCCCAGAUAGUUCUGAGAUUGUCUAGGAAAGAUCUUUUUUCACUUUGUGAAACCAGAAGCAUCUCUUUCCACUUUGCCAAUAUUUUUCCUUGUCUUCAACAGGUUGCACAUUAAAUGGCCAAGAGGUAAGAUUCACUGUCCACUAUGAAAAUGGGUUCACUAUCUCCAGGGAAGAUGCAGGCGCCAGCAGCAUACUAUACCGCUACCCCUUUGAGAGGCUGAAAAUGUCUGCUGAUGACGGCAUCAGGAAUCUGUAUCUGGAUUUCGGUGGCCCUGAGGGAGAACUGACCAUGGACCUGCACUCCUGUCCAAAGCCGAUUGUAUUCGUGUUGCAUACCUUCUUGUCGGCCAAAGUCACCCGCAUGGGACUGCUUGUAUGAGCAGCAAAAAAAUCAGAAAAGAGCCUUGACUGUCAAAAGAAGUAUUCUCACCUCAAAAAAGAAAAAAAAAAGCACAAAAAGAAAGCUCUUUGCUCUCCCCUCCAGCACAGUGCCUUCCCACGGACCUGCAAAUCGCUGCUGAACCAUACUUCUCACAACCUACCUUGGCCAGAUGACCCUGAUGAGCUCCAGAACGAAGCUGUUGGUCGACUGUCUUGCGGCUGCUGUGUGAUUAGGCUUGUUGCUCCUGUUGAAAAGAGUGGCUGUUGUUUUUCUUGUCAGGCACCAUCAAGUAGCCAAGAGCUGUUUCCUUUUUCUGCUUCCUAUAGGACCUCUUGUGGGCUUAGCCGUGAGCUCUUGGUGAGGACAAACUCUCCCUUCCUAGGUGCUAGUGCGCAGCGGCCCGUUGCCUCUCGGUCAUUCCAGAUAGGCCACAGGGUUCGCGGGAGUUCGCUCUCCUCACCUGCUCCCUCCACCAAGGACGUCCUUGAGUCGCUUCCCCAAAGGGGUCUUCAUCUGUCCUGGCUCUCACUUCAUCCCACCCUGGCCAUCACUUCCCAACUCCUCACCAGCUUUGCUGCUCGCGCGUGCUAACAUUAGGACUUACAUUUUGCAAAAUUUGAUUUGCCUUGCCUUCCACUCCUUUCUAGUGGUGACCAAGUUGAAAAGCAAGUUGGAAACUACUGCUUUAGAAGAAAGUUUAGCUUGAUUUAGGUUUUCUGAUUUUAUCUUUGGUAGGAGCCAGGGUAUCUUCCACGAUUUAUUUUAAAGAAAUCCUCAUUUUCGGCUAAGCCAUUUCUUAUUGCUGACCACAUGUGCCUUUGGUUAGGGUGAGUGGAGCUUUAUUAGUUACUCUUUCAGUAACUGGGUAUCACUGCCAUUCCAGGGAGACCCUCCCUUCUAGCUUGGAGAAACAGUCUUCGGGGUGGGAUUCCUUACUGGUGGGGAAGAGCCAGCUUGCUUGAAGAGCAGGCGUGGUGGGUGAAGCCAAAUCCCAGCGCGGGCAUCACGGCGAGAUGUUCUGAGCCCACGCGGCACCCUGGCCCUGGCCCUGGCCCUGCCUGCGGCAGCAGAGUGGCGCAGACAGACGGCUGCUGACUCAAGACCCCCUGUUGGCUUCUCUCUGGAUGAUCCACCUGCACUUUGCGAAGCUGUACCAGAUGCGACUGUUAGGGGGCAGCAGCAAUACAAUUGCUGACUCUGUGGUAUUGGACAAUCACAUGAGGCUUAGUUUUCCUAAUUUUGAAGAAGGUAUGUAUCUCAAGAAAUUUAAAAUAGUGUAGUAUCUGUAUAAAAUUUCAAGAGUAGCACAAGUCCCUAGAUCUGAAAGGAAAGAUACUUUUGACUUGAAUGCUCUCUCUGCCCUCUGAAGAAAGCUCUAGGAAUUAUUGCUGUUUACUUGAUCUAUCAGGGAUGUCAUAAGAUGAUGUGAGCACUGUUAGGGAGCAGAUGUGAGUGGCACCCCAGUUGGGGUGGGGGCUGAGAAGAUGUAGCUGUGUACACUAAACCUGAGCUAUUUGGGUUGUGUGCACACUGACAGGUGGGACGUGGGAGAGAGCAGACUCAGGAGCAGAGAGAGUUCUCUAUCCGAUGUCGGGGAGAGAUGUGUGUUCUUCCCCGAGCUUCAGAUAAUUGUUAAAGCUCCAAUGAUGAAUUAUCUAGUUCACUUCAAAACUAGAAGUUAAAAUCUAGACAAAAAUUUGCCUUUUAAGAACUUUUUUGAUUUGAAAAUUCAUAAACCUAAGAUGGGUUCCAUAUGAGACAAUUUGCAAUUAAAGGAAGGAGAAAAUGUCUCGAAGGUCCAGCUAUGAUAUCUGGAAGCAGAAUUUCAACAAAUGAUGCUGUCAGAUAAGCCAGCUUGGACACUCCUUGCAGUGAGAGUAUCGUUAAUAAGAGGAGUCGGACAGUCCGUCCAGACUUCGGCAGCAGAGCCACUUGGCUGAGGCUUUCUGUGCUCAGGAGAAAGGCUAACACACUGGGACUUGCAGGGGAAUCCUGAGCCGCCGCUCACUGGUGAGGUGGAGUCUGGAAGCCAGGUGUGGUUAAGCGGUGGGCCGGAGGGGCAGGGCGUAUAUGCUUCAGCUCGUUUUGCUGAGGUCCAGAGGUUUGUAAUAACCUUUUGAGUCCUGGGAAAUGGAAGUGUAUGGGAGGUCUCUGUCCACUAGCAGCCCCAAGAGCAAGAGCCCAGCAGCUGCUUGCCUGCAUCCGUGAACUGCUCUCCAGUCGAGGUGGCCAAGAUUGUUCUUCAACUAGGUGUGGGGGGGGGAUUUUCAAGCCACAGACGAAGUGCUUUUUAGGAAUGGGACACCUUGAUAAAUGUGUAUUUUGUAUUUCCCUGCCACAACAUGGCAUAUUAUUUUCAAUAUAAUUUUCAAACGACAAGUAAAAAUGAUCAUUUUUAUAUUUCACCUCUUUUAUAGAAGCAGGUAACUUUUCAUUUCUUUUUCAUCUUGAUUUAGGAGAAUUGUCAGGGCCUUUCGGGCUCCUGUGUGUCCAGUGGAGAGGAGGCUGCAGAGUGUGCCCCCUGCAGGCAGACCACCUGCUGCCCCUCCCUCCAGACCAGGUGCUCGGCUGCUUCUUCUCAUACCACACAGGCGACACCACCUGGUGUCUGAAAGGCUUCCUCCUCUUUCCUGGCCAUUCUCUCCCCAUAAAAAAGAAAAGAAAAGGCACAAAGUUUUCUUUCUCUGCAAAAGACAGAUCCGUUCCUGAAGUCAUCAAACAAACCUUGUCUGAAAUUGACACAAGUUGAGAAUCCCUUACCUGAAUGCUUAGAACCAGAAGUGUUGCAGAUCCUGGGAGUGUUUCAGAUUGUGGAGUACUCAUAUAGACUUCUCCAGCUGGGUGUUCCUAAUUCAAAAUCCAGCAUGCUGAUCACAAAUGUUGGAUUCCAGAGCAUUUCAGAUUAGAGGUGCCCGGUCUAAACCUGUUCUCUUAUAGGAAGCAGUUCUUCAGUGGGUGUCUAGACAGUGCUUAUUGGGUAGUUGUGACUGUAAACUCGCCUGCGUAGUAGACAGAGUUUCAGGUUAAAUAUUGAGACAUGCACAGGCAAUCAGAAAUGUUACUUUAAAUGUCACCCACCUCUUUGAAAGCCCUGUUUUAGCACUUUUUUAGGCUGGGGAAAGUCUGAUAGGGCCUGCGUUCCGCAUCUGUACUCUCACUACAAAUUCCCUCACUAAAAAAUAUUGCAUGGCAGGGGAGAUUUAAGUAUUUAUUCUUUUUUUACCCAUAGAAAAUCGUUCAACCCAUAAAUGGCUAACAUUGUUACUUAACAAUGUUUUCUUAACUUCUCCUAAGCAGAAUGGUAACACAGCUUUCUUCAGUUGAUUAAAUGCACUUAGCUGAUAAACCAAAAUUUAUUCUUAAAAAAAAAAAAAUUACGCCGUGUGGAAUCCGGACAAGAUUAUGUUUCUCCCGGAAACAGGUUUCACUAUAAAUGGUUUAAUGGACAAGAGGUAUAAGGUAAAGGUUGCGUUUUUAAAAAUUCUUUGAGAAACUCUAGGUCCUCUUGUUUAAUUUAUAUGCAUGUGGGCAUAUUUGUUUUCAAAACCACGGAAAAGUCUGUCCGUAUUUUUAAUGCAAAUUACUUUGUAAGCUGCUAUGCAAAUUCUCUUCCCUGCCUAGUUUAAGAGUUAAACGUUGUUGAAACUUUCAGGGAAGACCUGUAGACUCAAGCACUUUGCUCUUUUGUAUUCUUAUCUUGGACACUUGCUUUGGAUUACGCUUCUAUUAUUUUCACUGGUUAUAAGCUAUUGAUUGUACAUAGUAUCUCAGCUCUCCAAAUACCCAGCAUUUCCACGUGGCCACUGUCCACAGCUGGUGCGUGAAUGGAAUGGCUGGUAGGAAAGCCAAAGCUCUUCUCAGUCCCUAAUGAAGAAAUCAAAUGCCAGGUCUCGCUGGUCUCAAAGCAGAUGGCUGUGGCCAGAUCUGAAUGUCUAUGUAAUGAAGAGAGACUUAGUUACAUUUGGGACUUUAUCUGAACUUUAAGUUUAAUUAGGCUAUGGUCAUAUUCAUUCUUUUUAUGCACCUUUAUCAGGUAUGACAUUUUAUGCCAGGUAGUAUUAGUUACUCUACUUUGAAUUUAGAAAUCUCUCUCAGUUAGAUCUCAGUUGUGGCUUUUCUUUUUCGUGUUGAAGGUGAAAGUAGAGGAAUCUGCCAUCUCCCGUGUGCUGUCUCUGUGCCCUUAUUUUGACUGCUUGGUGGUAGAGUUUUGUUUCUUUUGUUUGUUUGUUUGUUUUGUUUUUACUUUAGAAACCAAUAGCAGCAGUCGCCCUCCUUCCUCAGCUCUGUCUUGUGCUGUGUCGGGUGCAUUGACACUCCAUGGAUGUGUGAUGACAGACACCCCCUAAGAUCAUUAUGCUGUGUAUCGGGAUCAUGUAUUUUUGAGCAGCAUAGUUAUUCCUGUGCUAUAAUGACAUCAAGUUGAGUUUAUUUUACACAAGGAGUAGACUGCCUAAGUGACUAGCUGAAACCCUUUUUCUGAAAACCAGAAACAUCUGGCAGAUUGAUGACACCAGUUCAUUCUGCUGUUAAAGGACAGAAUUUCAAGUUAGGGAGAAGGUGCAAUACAUAGGCACGUAGUGCAUCUGUUUUCCUGUCUUGUUUUUGACACUAGCUAAACUGCCACCUAGAAGAAUGGUUACGUACCACAAAAGAACAUUUCCACAAGAUUACAUCUUUUGCUUCAAGACACAACAUUUGAGCUCAAUUUCUUACCACCUGUAUUCUUCCUUUCCAGUUGAACUGGUGACUGAACCAAAGCACAUUCCAGUUUUGUAAGUGAAUCCACAUACAAUGUAAGGCAUAACUCUGCCCUUUACAAAGCAUUACUUGCUCUCCAGUACACAUUUGAUUACAUUCAACAAAAAUCUACCAUAUGAAUUGUAACCCUUGGCUUGUCCUUUUAAAAUAAGAUUGGUUAAAACCAAAAACCGUCAAUAGAGGAAUGAUACUUCAUUGUAGUGUGAGAUUGGGAGUCUUGGUUGGGUCUCUGAUUUCUGAAUACUGGAACGUCUUGUCUAGUUCCACAGUCUUUUUCCCUCCUGUGCUUGACUCGGCAUAUUCUAGUUUUCUAGUCCUCCUUCAUCCCAGUCACUGUACACCCAGGAGCCUGAUAACUCACUCCUUCUACACAGGGUCCUCUUUGAGGGCUUGGAGACAUUAAAACUGCACAGCCAAUUAAUACCAUUAAUAAUAUACAUCUUUCAUCUAAUAAGCACUUACUGAACAAUAUAUCCUGAAGGGUCGAAAAGAAGGUUCCCGCCUCCAGGUAGCACAGGACCCAUUAUUUCCCAACCACACCAUGCAUGGUACGUCCAUUCAGUGGGGACAUACUUAAUCACUGGGUAUUUUUACCCGAGUGUAUCUACAGUUCUUCUCUGGAUCUGGAAAACUAGAAAAUGUUUCAAGAGAUCCUCAGGCUUUGAUCCAUGCCAACAGGAAGCCAUUCCAACCACAUGGACGUAGAUUGGUCCUUUUCAUUAUACAGGAUGUUUUUUUUCUUUAAGUGCAAAAGUAAAUUCAGUUUGGAAAAGAAAAGAGUAUCCUUAGUAAAAUAAAUCACAACAAUAAAAAGUAGGCUCUAUUGUCCAAAGUGGAUCAAUGAGAAAGUCUUUUUUAAACUAAAACAGCAAAACUAAAUAUGUUUCAUCACACUCCCCCCGCCCCCAUUUCUCCAUUUUGCCAACUCAUUUCCCCACUUACAUGUAAGCAUCUCAUUUGUUCAGGUGGAGACUUUCUCCAUUAUCGAAAGAUCAAAAUGAAGAUAUUUAAAACUUAACAAAAUUCUUUUGUUCUAGAACACUGGCACUCAAACUCAGUGAAAAUGGCACCUGAAGAAAAUGAGGGCACGAUUUCAUUUUCUGUAAUUUUCACACAGCGCCAGCCCCUUUCUGCCCAGCUUGUCCUCCAUUCAUCGCAAGGGUCAGGUUCUCAGGCAGCAUCCUGAGUCAUGCCCGGAGCCACCUGAGCCACCUGUGACUGGGACGGCGUGAGGAAGGAAGGCCGUCACACGGGCUCCUUUCCCUUUGUCUUCAAGCUUCCUGGUGUUGGGCACAAACACUAGGCCAUGCCUCAGGGUCUUGGUCGUGGUCUGGUCUUUACACCUACCCUUUGACAACCAGGUGCUAAUGAUUGUGUAUUAAUGAAACCAGCCCUUACCUAGCGUCACGUGAGUGUCUCUGCUGUGGUUGCAAGGAGCCUUUCCUUCCAUUUUGGUCAUGUCCAAGUGGGUGUCAGUUACUUCUCCUCCCCUGUGCUUUGUGAAUUAAUAGAACGAGUUUCAGGUUUGCACGGUCCUCAGCGCAAAUCUGCUGUAUCGUAGGAGCCGGUUUCAGACCUCUUCCUCCAGCGCAGGGCCCUGUUCUGUGUUUACAGUCUGUCAGACGAGUUCAGUGUUACAGGUCCUUGGUGCCCAAAGAACUUGUUUCCUGUUUGGUACCAGACCCAAGGUCUCUGAGAAGACAGUGUGGGAAACCACUACCUAAGAGGCCCACGUUGGCUUACCUGUGCACACCCUGGUAAUACCCACCUGUAUGUGUUCUUUCCCACUCUGCUUUCAUAUGUGUGACGUAUGAGGACUUAGAAAGCUGGAAUAAUACUCCUGCAAAUAAUUAAAGUUUCGAACCUGGUUUUUUUUUCUUUCUUUUCUUUAAAGAAUCUUGAUUUUAAACAAGACUUCUCUUUAAAUCUUAUUUAAAAUUUAAGUCUCAGAUCUAUCUUCUGGCUACCAAAUCAAAAACCCAUGGCAUAAAACAGGGCAGUAUUUCUGUUCUUAAUUUUUUAAAAAAGCUUUAUGUAUACUCUAUAAAUAUAAACGCAUAGACAACACUUCCCCUUGAGUUGCACAUCCACAUAUAGCAUUGUACAUUACAAUGAAACUUUGUAACUUAAGGGUACUAUAUAUAUAAAUGCACAUAUACCUUUGUAACCUUUAUACUGUAAAUAAAAAAUUGCUUUUAGACUUGUA